GUAGGUGGCAAGCGUUGUCCGGAAUUAUUGGGCGUAAAGCGCGCGCAGGUGGUUCUUUAAGUCUGAUGUGAAAGCCCCCGGCUCAACCGGGGAGGGUCAUUGGAAACUGGGGAACUUGAGUGCAGGAGAGGAAAGUGGAAUUCCACGUGUAGCGGUGAAAUGCGUAGAUAUGUGGAGGAACACCAGUGGCGAAGGCGACUUUCUGGCCUGUAACUGACACUGAGGCGCGAAGCGUGGGGAGCAAACAGGGAUUAGAUACCCUGGUAGUCCACGCCGUAAACGAUGAGUGCUAAGUGUUGGGGGGGUUUCCCGCCCCUCAGUGCUGCAGCUAACGCAUUAAGCACUCCGCCUGGGGAUACGGUCGCAAGACUG
rnacentral:rRNA from 1 species